rnacentral:rRNA from 1 species
AGAGUUUGAUCAUGGCUCAGGAUAAACGCUGGCGGCGUGCCUUAUGCAUGCAAGUCGUACGGUAUUGAUAAAUCAGGCUUGCCUGGGAUAUCAAGAGAGUGGCGGACGGGUGAGUAACACGUAAGCAAUCUGCCCCUAAGUAAGGGAUAACCCUGAGAAAUCGGAGCUAAUACCUUAUGUGGUGGUGGAGGUAAAGCUUCAUCACUAAAGCCGCAAGGCGCUUGGGGAGGAGCUUGUGUCCGAUUAGCUAGUUGGUAGGGUAAUGGCUUACCAAGGCGAUGAUCGGUAGCUGGUCUGAGAGGAUGAUCAGCCACACUGGGACUGAGAUACGGCCCAGACUCCUACGGGAGGCAGCAGCAAGGAAUAUUGGGCAAUGGGCGAAAGCCUGACCCAGCGACGCCGCGUGGGGGAUGAAUGCCUUCGGGUUGUAAACCCCUUUUCUCAGGGAAGAAUAAUGACGGUACCUGAGGAAUAAGUCUCGGCUAACUACGUGCCAGCAGCCGCGGUAAUACGUAGGAGGCGAGCGUUAUCCGGAUUUAUUGGGCGUAAAGAGGGCGCAGGCGGUUCUUCAAGUCGGAUGUAAAAUCUCCCGGCUUAACUGGGAGGGGUCAUUCGAUACUGUUGGGCUAGAGGGCAGCAGGGGGAGGUGGAAUUCCCGGUGUAGUGGUGAAAUGCGUAGAUAUCGGGAGGAACACCAGUGGCGAAGGCGGCCUCCUGGGCUGUUACUGACGCUGAGGCCCAAAAGCGUGGGGAGCAAACAGGAUUAGAUACCCUGGUAGUCCACGCCGUAAACGAUGAGUGCUAGGUGUCGGGGGUUCACACCCUCGGUGCCGGAGUUAACGCAUUAAGCACUCCGCCUGGGGAGUACGGUCGCAAGAAUGAAACUCAAA